GUUUCAUUUUAUUUUUGAAUUUCUUGUCAUAAUCACAGUUAUUAAAUUUGACAAACACAUACAUGUAUAUUUUACCUGAGACACCUGACCUGUAAGUUAUAUAAUUUUAACACUUCAAUGCAUUUAAGAUUUCCCUUUAUCCUUGACUAGUUUUUGAGUAAUACCUUGUGUAUUAAAAAAGCAACCGGGGGUAUGAUGAUGAACAUAUAGGGCCAC
rnacentral:lncRNA from 1 species